rnacentral:rRNA from 1 species
CAGCAGCCGCCACGGUAAAACGGAGGGUGCAAGCGUUAUCCGGAUUUAUUGGGUUUAAAGGGUCCGUAGGCGGAUCUGUAAGUCAGUGGUGAAAUCUCACAGCUUAACUGUGAAACUGCCAUUGAUACUGCAGGUCUUGAGUAAAUUUGAAGUGGCUGGAAUAAGUAGUGUAGCGGUGAAAUGCAUAGAUAUUACUUAGAACACCAAUUGCGAAGGCAGGUCACUAAGAUUUAACUGACGCUGAUGGACGAAAGCGUGGGGAGCGAACAGGAUUAGAUACCCCCGUAGUCCCUGUCUCUUAUAC